GCGCUUCCGGCAGCUGCCCUGGGCCGGGGGUGUGCGCCCUUCCCUGGGUGCAGGAGGACCUGCGCGCGAAAGGCGCGCGCGGGAGCAGUUCUCUAGUACUGCCCUGCCCACCAUGGCCAAACCAACAAGCAAAGAUUCCGGCUUGAAGGAGAAGUUCAAGAUACUGUUGGGAUUGGGAACAUCGAGGCCAAAUCCCAGGUGUGCAGAAGGCAAACAGACUGAGUUUAUCAUCACAUCGGAAAUCUUGAGAGAACUGAGUGGUGAAUGCGGCCUCAACAAUCGCAUCCGAAUGAUAGGGCAGAUCUGUGAUGUGGCAAAAACUAAGAAGCUUGAGGAGCAUGCAGUGGAGGCACUUUGGAAGGCUGUCUCAGACUUGCUACAGCCAGAGCGGCCACCAGAGGCCCGGCAUGCAGUUCUCACCUUAUUGAAGGCCAUUGUACAGGGACAGGGUGAUCGUUUGGGAGUUCUCAGAGCCCUCUUCUUCAAAGUGAUCAAGGACUACCCCUCCAAUGAAGACCUCCAUGAAAGGCUAGAAGUUUUUAAGGCCCUCACAGACAAUGGGAGGCACAUUACCUAUUUGGAAGAAGAACUGGCAGAGUUUGUCCUGCAGUGGAUGGAUGUUGGCUUGUCCUCAGAAUUCCUUCUGGUACUUGUCAACCUGGUCAAGUUCAACAGCUGUUACCUUGACGAAUACAUUGCAUCAAUGGUUCACAUGAUUUGUCUGCUAUGCAUCCGGACAGUGUCCUCUGUGGACAUUGAGGUGUCCUUGCAAGUGCUGGAUGCUGUGGUCUGCUACAACUGCUUACCAGCCGAGAGCCUGCCUCUGUUCAUUAUCACCCUGUGCCGCACCAUCAAUGUCAAGGAGCUGUGUGAGCCUUGCUGGAAGUUGAUGCGUAACCUUCUGGGCACCCACCUGGGCCACAGCGCCAUCUACAACAUGUGCCGCAUCAUGGAGGACAGAUCCUACAUGGAAGAUGCCCCACUGCUGAGAGGAGCUGUGUUCUUUGUAGGGAUGGCACUCUGGGGAGCUCACCGGCUCUACUCUCUCAAGAACUCCCCCACAUCUGUGCUGCCGUCUUUUUAUGAGGCUAUGACCUGUCCCAAUGAGGUGGUGUCAUAUGAGAUUGUUCUGUCCAUAACAAGACUCAUCAAGAAGUAUAGGAAGGAGCUCCAGGCUGUGACAUGGGAUAUUCUGCUGGACAUCAUUGAACGACUACUUCAGCAACUCCAGAACCUGGACAGCCCGGAACUCAAGACCAUCGUCCAUGACCUGCUGACCACUGUGGAGGAGCUAUGUGACCAGAACGAGUUCCAUGGCUCGCAGGAAAGAUACUAUGAACUGGUGGAGAGCUAUGCAGACCAGAGACCUGAAUCCUCUCUCUUAAACUUGAUAUCCUACAGAGCCCAGUCCAUCCACCCUGCCAAGGAUGGCUGGAUCCAGAACUUGCAGUUGUUGAUGGAGAGGUUCUUCAGGAAUGAGUGCCGCAGCGCCGUGCGCAUCAAGGUGUUGGAUGUUCUGUCCUUCGUGCUGCUGAUCAACAGGCAGUUCUAUGAGGAGGAGCUGAUUAACUCGGUGGUCAUCUCGCAGCUCUCCCACAUUCCCGAGGAUAAGGACCAUCAGGUCCGAAAGCUGGCUACUCAGCUGCUGGUGGACCUGGCAGAGGGGUGCCACACCCACCACUUCAACAGUCUGCUGGACAUCAUUGAAAAGGUGAUGGCGCGCUCACUCUCUCCACCCCCGGAGCUGGAAGAAAGGGACCUGGCCAUGCACUCGGCCUCCCUGGAGGACGUGAAGACCGCGGUCCUGGGGCUCCUGGUCAUCCUUCAGACCAAGCUCUACACCUUGCCUGCCAGCCACGCCACUCGAGUGUAUGAGAGCCUCAUUAGUCACAUCCAGCUCCAUUACAAGCACGGCUACUCCCUGCCCAUUGCUAGCAGCAUCCGACUACAGGCCUUUGACUUCCUGCUGCUACUGCGGGCUGACUCGCUGCAUCGACUGGGCCUGCCCAACAAGGAUGGGGUCGUGAGAUUCAGCCCUUACUGCCUCUGUGACUGCAUGGAACUGGAUAGAGCCUCAGAGAAGAAAGCCAGUGGGCCCCUUUCACCUCCAACUGGGCCCCCUAGCCCUGUGCCUAUGGGCCCUGCUGUGCGGCUCGGCUACCUACCCUACUCCCUGCUCUUCCGUGUCCUGUUGCAGUGUUUGAAGCAGGAGAGCGACUGGAAGGUGCUGAAGCUGGUGCUCAGCAGGCUGCCGGAGUCACUGCGCUACAAAGUCCUCAUCUUCACCUCCCCCUGCAGUGUCGACCAGCUGUCUUCUGCCCUCUGCUCCAUGCUUUCAGCUCCAAAGACCCUUGAGCGGCUCCGAGGUACCCCAGAAGGCUUCUCGAGAACUGACCUGCACUUGGCUGUGGUUCCCGUGCUAACAGCAUUAAUAUCUUAUCACAACUAUUUGGACAAGACCAGACAGCGUGAGAUGGUGUACUGCCUGGAACAAGGCCUUAUCUACCGCUGCGCCAGCCAGUGCGUGGUAGCCUUGGCCAUCUGCAGUGUGGAGAUGCCCGACAUCAUCAUCAAGGCGCUUCCUGUCCUGGUGGUGAAGCUCACACACAUUUCUGCCACAGCCAGCAUGGCCAUCCCGCUCCUGGAGUUCCUGUCUACUUUGGCCAGGCUGCCCCACCUCUACAGGAACUUUGCUGCAGAGCAGUAUGCCAGCGUGUUUGCCAUCUCCUUGCCAUACACCAACCCCUCCAAGUUCAACCAGUACAUUGUGUGUCUGGCUCACCACGUCAUAGCCAUGUGGUUCAUCAGGUGCCGACUGCCCUUUCGGAAGGAUUUCGUCCCUUAUAUCACUAAGGGUUUGCGUUCCAAUGUCCUCCUGUCUUUUGAUGAUACCCCUGAGAAGGACAGUUUCAGAGCACGGAGCACCAGUCUUAAUGAGAGACCCAAAAGUUUGAGGAUAGCCAGAGCCCCCAAACAAGGCCUGAAUAACUCUCCACCUGUGAAAGAAUUCAAAGAGAGCUGUGCAGCCGAGGCCUUCCGGUGCCGCAGCAUCAGUGUAUCUGAACAUGUGGUCCGCAGCAGAAUACAGACAUCCCUUACGAGCGCCAGCCUGGGGUCUGCGGAUGAGAACUCUAUGGCCCAGGCUGAUGACAACUUGAAGAAUCUCCACUUGGAGCUCACAGAAACAUGUCUGGACAUGAUGGCCCGAUAUGUGUUCUCCAAUUUCACUGCAGUCCCCAAGAGGUCCCCUGUGGGAGAGUUCCUCCUGGCAGGGGGUAGGACCAAAACCUGGCUGGUUGGAAACAAGCUUGUCACUGUGACAACAAGUGUGGGAACUGGUACACGGUCGCUGCUGGGCCUGGACUCUGGGGACCUGCAGGGUGGCUCGGAUUCAAGCUCUGAUCCUAGCACACAUGUGAGGCAGACAAAGGAAGCACCGGCCAAACUGGAGUCCCAGGCUGGGCAGCAGGUGUCCCGUGGGGCCCGGGACCGGGUCCGCUCCAUGUCAGGGGGCCAUGGCCUUCGAGUUGGUGUCCUGGAUACUUCAGCUCCCUAUUCCCCAGGUGGCUCUGCUUCUCUGGGACCACAGACGGCGGUGGCAGCGAAGCCCGAGAAGCCCCCUGCAGGAGCCCAGCUUCCAACAGCAGAGAAGACGAAUCUGGCAGCCUAUGUGCCUUUGUUAACCCAGGGCUGGGCAGAAAUCUUAGUCCGCAGACCCACAGGAAACACCAGCUGGCUGAUGAGCUUGGAGAACCCGCUCAGCCCCUUCUCCUCAGACAUCAACAACAUGCCCCUGCAAGAGCUGUCCAAUGCCCUUAUGGCUGCUGAACGUUUCAAGGAGCACCGGGACACGGCCCUGUACAAGUCAUUGUCAGUGCCAGCGGCUGGCACCGCCAAGCCUCCUACUCUCCCACGCUCUAAUACAGUGGCUUCUUUCUCCUCCCUGUACCAGCCCAGCUGCCAAGGACAGCUGCACAGGAGCGUUUCCUGGGCAGACUCAGCCAUGGUCCUUGAGGAGGGAAGUCCAGGAGAGACUCAGGUGCCAGUGGAGCCCCCCGAAUUGGAGGAUUUCGAGGCGGCGUUAGGUACAGACAGGCACUGCCAGCGGCCUGACACCUACAGCCGGUCAUCCUCAGCAUCUAGCCAGGAAGAAAAGUCCCAUUUGGAGGAGCUUGCUGCAGGGGGUAUCCCCAUUGAGCGGGCCAUCUCCUCUGAGGGGGCUCGGCCUGCCGUGGACCUCUCCUUCCAACCCUCACAGCCUUUGAGCAAGUCUAGCUCUUCUCCGGAGUUGCAGACCUUACAGGACAUCCUUGGAGACCUAGGGGACAAGAUUGAUAUUGGACGGCUGAGUCCUGAGGCUAAGGUCCGGUCCCAGUCAGGGAUCCUGGAUGGGGAAGCAGCUACCUGGUCAGCUACGGGUGAAGAGAGCCGUAUCACAGUCCCACCUGAAGGUCCUCUGCCUUCCAGUUCUCCCCGCUCCCCCAGUGGCCUCCGGCCCCGAGGCUAUACCAUCUCUGAUUCCGCUCCAUCACGAAGGGGAAAGAGGGUAGAAAGGGAUAACUUCAAGAGCAGAGCUGCGGCCUCCAGUGCUGAGAAGGUGCCAGGCAUCAACCCUAGCUUUGUGUUCCUACAGCUCUACCAUUCGCCCUUUUUUGGUGAUGAGUCCAAUAAGCCCAUCCUAUUGCCCAAUGAGUCCUUUGAACGGUCAGUACAGCUGCUUGACCAGAUUCCAUCCUAUGACACUCACAAGAUUGCUGUCCUGUAUGUGGGAGAAGGCCAGAGCAGCAGUGAGCUGGCCAUCCUGUCAAAUGAGCAUGGCUCUUACAGGUACACGGAGUUUCUGACAGGCCUGGGUCGGCUUAUUGAGCUCAAGGACUGCCAACCAGACAAGGUGUACUUAGGUGGACUGGAUGUAUGUGGCGAGGAUGGACAGUUCACCUACUGCUGGCAUGAUGACAUCAUGCAAGUCCAGUGUCACCCACUCUACAGCUGUUUUCCACAUUGCCACCCUGAUGCCCACCAAGGAUGUGGACAAGCACCGCUGUGACAAGAAACGGCACCUGGGCAAUGACUUUGUUUCUAUCAUCUACAAUGAUUCUGGUGAGGACUUCAAACUGGGCACCAUUAAGGGCCAGUUCAACUUUGUCCAUGUGAUCAUCACACCGCUGGACUACAAGUGCAACCUAUUGACCCUGCAGUGCAGGAAAGACAUGGAAGGCCUCGUGGACACCAGUGUGGCCAAGAUUGUGUCUGACCGCAACCUGUCCUUUGUGGCCCGACAGAUGGCCCUGCAUGCAAAUAUGGCCUCACAGGUACACCACAGCCGAUCCAACCCCACUGACAUCUAUCCCUCCAAGUGGAUCGCAAGACUCCGCCACAUUAAGCGUCUCCGCCAGAGGAUCCGUGAAGAGGUGCACUAUUCCAACCCAAGCUUGCCUCUGAUGCACCCUCCAGCCCACACCAAAGCCCCAGCUCAAGCCCCUGAGGCUACACCCACCUAUGAAACAGGCCAGCGGAAGCGCCUCAUUUCCUCCGUGGAUGACUUCACAGAGUUUGUGUGAGGCCAGCAGAUCCAUGACUAGAGUCCUGUGGCCAGCCAUGUAGCUAUCCUGACUGUACUCCUACAUGAAAUAAACUGCACACGCACAUCUGGCCCGUGGAGUUCAGAGAGCAGCACAGACAGCAGUCAGACAGCUUCUUUAUUUGACUUUGUCUUGUCUGUUUGGGGUUGGGGCAGAAUCCAGGCUAGAGCUGCAGAUGAGCCCACAGAAGCAGGCAGGUGCCAUCACAUACAUUCUCUUUCCCCCACCCGCCAUGGGGGCAAGCCCCAUUGGUGGGCUUGUCCAGUAACUUCUUGGCAUCUUUCAUCCCACAGUAGUCCUGCCCUUGCUCAGAUCUGAAACCAGCAGAUCUGCGUGCUGCCUGGCCCCAGACAAGGGAGGAAAACAAGGCCACGGUGGCCCCAAUUGCUGUCCAGCACCUGCCCGAGGCCAGACUCGGAUCCAGUAAUAGCUGCAGCUUCCCCUGUACCCCUGCCCUGGGUAACAAUGGACCCAUUUUCAGCCCAAGUAGAAAAUACUGACAUACAAAAAUAUAUACAUUUUAACCCCAUAUAAAUUAUUGAUGGUGGACAUAGAAAGCAGAUGGUAGCUAGAGGGCAAGUAUGCUGCAGAAACAAGAGAGGUAAUAACUUAGGGGACGGAUAAAGGAGAAGUGUAGCUUAGCCCUCCCUCCAGCUUAGAUUUUUAGCAAGAGGAGAUGGCCACCUAGGGGUAGAGCUGGGCGCAGCCCGCUGAACCUGAGGACUUGGGGGGAGGGGGGGCGAAUAAAUUAGCAUCUUGGAGGCUGGGUA